UUGAGAGCGGCGGACGGGUGAGUAAUACCUAGGAAUCUGCCUGAUAGUGGGGGAUAACGUUCGGAAACGGACGCUAAUACCGCAUACGUCCUACGGGAGAAAGCAGGGGACCUUCGGGCCUUGCGCUAUCAGAUGAGCCUAGGUCGGAUUAGCUAGUUGGUGAGGUAAUGGCUCACCAAGGCUACGAUCCGUAACUGGUCUGAGAGGAUGAUCAGUCACACUGGAACUGAGACACGGUCCAGACUCCUACGGGAGGCAGCAGUGGGGAAUAUUGGACAAUGGGCGAAAGCCUGAUCCAGCCAUGCCGCGUGUGUGAAGAAGGUCUUCGGAUUGUAAAGCACUUUAAGUUGGGAGGAAGGGCAGUUACCUAAUACGUGAUUGUCUUGACGUUACCGACAGAAUAAGCACCGGCUAACUCUGUGCCAGCAGCCGCGGUAAUACAGAGGGUGCAAGCGUUAAUCGGAAUUACUGGGCGUAAAGCGCGCGUAGGUGGUUUGUUAAGUUGAAUGUGAAAUCCCCGGGCUCAACCUGGGAACUGCAUCCAAAACUGGCAAGCUAGAGUAUGGUAG
rnacentral:rRNA from 1 species